ACGAACGCUGGCGGCGUGCUUAACACAUGCAAGUCGAACGGAAAGGCCCUGCUUUUGUGGGGUGCUCGAGUGGCGAACGGGUGAGUAACACGUGAGUAACCUGCCCUUGACUUUGGGAUAACUUCAGGAAACUGGGGCUAAUACCGGAUAGGAGCUCCCGCUGCAUGGUGGGGGUUGGAAAGUUUCGGCGGUUGGGGAUGGACUCGCGGCUUAUCAGCUUGUUGGUGGGGUAGUGGCUUACCAAGGCUUUGACGGGUAGCCGGCCUGAGAGGGUGACCGGCCACAUUGGGACUGAGAUACGGCCCAGACUCCUACGGGAGGCAGCAGUGGGGAAUAUUGCACAAUGGGCGGAAGCCUGAUGCAGCAACGCCGCGUGCGGGAUGACGGCCUUCGGGUUGUAAACCGCUUUCGCCUGUGACGAAGCGUGAGUGACGGUAAUGGGUAAAGAAGCACCGGCUAACUACGUG
rnacentral:rRNA from 1 species